UUAAUGUUUCAGUAAACUUACAAUAUGUAUGGGUAUGUGUGUGUAUAUAUAUUGCAAAACCCCAAGAACCACACACCAAAAAGUCCAUUGUAAACUGUUUUAGUGUCCUCAAGGAAAUCCUUGCCGCUGUCAGUAAACCUGUCAAAACAAGCAAUCAUCAUAACUAGUCGAAAAGAAAAGAAAAAUCAUCAUCUUAACAUGUAAUACAAUAGUUAGAGAGUACCACUUACAAUCCAGGAAGCAAUACAAGUACUUGGUAUGUAGCAUUGUCUUAAAAUAUAGCAUGUAGGGGUGUCAACACAAGUUCCAGUGUUGCAACAUGAACACCUGAAACAUAUGGGAAUCUUCAACCGAACAGUAUAGUGCAUCCACCUGCAUCCCACCCAUGCUGCAAGAGUAUCCCAAGGGGUCACAGAGCUAUAUUGGUGGC
rnacentral:lncRNA from 1 species